AGAAUCAACGCUGGCGGCGUGCCUAACACAUGCAAGUCGAACGGAGAAAGUGGAGCAAUCCAUGAGUAAAGUGGCGCACGGGUGAGUAACACGUGACUAACCUACCCUUGAGUGGGGGAUAACCUAGAGAAAUCUGGGCUAAUACCGCAUAAUACCUUCGGGUCAAAGGAGCAAUUCGCUUAAGGAGGGGGUCGCGGCCGAUUAGUUAGUUGGCGGGGUAAUGGCCCACCAAGACUGUGAUCGGUA
rnacentral:rRNA from 1 species